GGCAGCAGUGGGGAAUUUUGGACAAUGGGCGCAAGCCUGAUCCAGCAAUGCCGCGUGCGGGAAGAAGGCCUUCGGGUUGUAAACCGCUUUUGGUAGGAACGAAAAGGUCUGGGCUAAUACCCUGGGGUGAUGACGGUACCUGGACAAUAAGCACCGGCUAACUACGUGCCAUCAGCCGCGGUAAUACUUAUGGUGCGAGCGUUAAUCGGAAUUACUGGGCGUAAAGCGUGCGCAGGCGGUUGUGCCAGACAGGCAUGAAAUCCCCGGGCUUAACCUGGGAAUGGCGCUUGUGACUGCACGACUGGAGUGCGGCAGAGGGGGAUGGAAUUCCGCGUGUAACAAUGAAAUGCGUAAAUGUGCGGAGGAACACCGAUGGUGAAGGCAAUCCCCUGGGCCUGCACUGACGCUCAUGCUCAAAAGCGUGGGGAGCAAACACGAUUAAAUACCCUGGUAAUCCACGCCCUAAACUAUGUCUACUGGUUGUUGGGCCUUGAUUGGCUCAUUAACCAAGCUAACGCGUGAAGUCGACCGCCUGUCGAGUACGGUCGCAAGGUUGAUACUCGAUCGAAUUGACCG
rnacentral:rRNA from 1 species